UACGUAGGAGACGAGCGUUGUCCGGAGUUAUUGGGUUUAAAGGGUGCGUAGGCGGUUAAUUAAGUCAGUGGUGAAAUCCUGGAGCUCAACUUCAGAACUGCCAUUGAUACUGGUUGACUUGAGUACAGACGAGGUUGGCGGAAUUGAUGGUGUAGCGGUGAAAUGCAUAGAUACCAUCAAGAACACCGAUUGCGAAGGCAGCUAACUAGGCUGUAACUGACGCUGAGGCACGAAAGUGUGGGGAUCAAACAGG
rnacentral:rRNA from 1 species